UACGAAGGGGGCUAGCGUUGUUCGGAAUCACUGGGCUUAAAGGGUGCGUAGGCGGCGCAGAAAGUUGGGUGUGAAAUCCCUCGGCUUAACCGAGGAAUUGCGCCCAAAACUACUGUGCUCGAGGGAGGUAGAGGUGAGCGGAACUUACGGUGUAGCAGUGAAAUGCGUAGAUAUCGUAAGGAAGACCAGUGGCGAAGGCGAAUCUCUGGACAGUUACUGACACUGAGGCACGAAGGCCAGGGGAGCAAACGGG
rnacentral:rRNA from 1 species